rnacentral:rRNA from 1 species
UACGUAGGGUGCAAGCGUUAAUCGGAAUUACUGGGCGUAAAGCGUGCGCAGGCGGUUUGCUAAGACAGGUGUGAAAUCCCCGGGCUUAACCUGGGAACUGCGCUUGUUACUGGCAAGCUUGAGUGUGGCAGAGGGGGGUGGAAUUCCACGUGUAGCAGUGAAAUGCGUAGAGAUGUGGAGGAACACCGAUGGCGAAGGCAGCCCCCUGGGCUAACACUGACGCUCAUGCACGAAAGCGUGGGGAGCAAACAGG